AUUGAACGCUGGCGGCAGGCUUAACACAUGCAAGUCGAGCGGGGUGAUGGUGCUUGCACUAUCACUUAGCGGCGGACGGGUGAGUAAUGCUUAGGAAUCUGCCUAUUAGUGGGGGACAACAUCUCGAAAGGGAUGCUAAUACCGCAUACGUCCUACGGGAGAAAGCAGGGGAUCACUUGUGACCUUGCGCUAAUAGAUGAGCCUAAGUCGGAUUAGUUAGUUGGUGGGGUAAAGGCCUACCAAGGCGACGAUCUGUAGCGGGUCUGAGAGGAUGAUCCGCCACACUGGGACUGAGACACGGCCCAGACUCCUACGGGAGGCAGCAGUGGGGAAUAUUGGACAAUGGGGGGAACCCUGAUCCAGCCAUGCCGCGUGUGUGAAGAAGGCCUUAUGGUUGUAAAGCAUUUUAAGCGAGGAGGAGGCUCUUUUGGUUAAUACCCAAGAUGAGUGGACGUUACUCGCAGAAUAAGCACCGGCUAACUCUGUGCCAGCAGCCGCCGUAA
rnacentral:rRNA from 1 species